CUACAGAGUGUUUUAAUAGAUUUCUAAGUACAAUUCGUGUCUGAUUUUGGAAAUACAAAUACAUUUCGAAUGGUUAAAAACAAAAAUUAAAAAAAUAUUUUGAACAUCAGCCAGCUGAAAAUAUAUUUAUCUAGUAAAUCAUCUCUCAAAGCUUUUAUAUAUUUUAAUUAUUCUAACUAAACAUAGUACCCUUAAAAAACAAGUUCAUAAAAAUGUAGAAAUGAAAUUGUGGAAUAAGAUUACUGGGAGAUACAUAUAUACACACACACAUUCAAUGCAUACACAGAAUUACAAGGGGGUCUGUUUGUCUGUUUCUCAGUUUGGCAGGUUGCUGGACAAACGGAACUAGCAAGCAAUGCUCAACUCCUGAGUUCCUCAACCAAGAUAACCAUAGGCUAAUUUUUAAUUGUAUUUUUUUAUCUUUUUUUUUUUUUUUUUUUUUAUACACAAGAUAUUCCAUGUAAAGCAGCAACAGCAGUGCAGUUACUGGUAGCAACAUCUCAAAAGUAAUAAAAAACCCCAUACAUCCAGACAGUAGUACAUUGCACACACACGUGAUUCCCAUACACCCAUCAACAAUUGGUCAGAGUAUUAAAUCAGUGUACAAAUUAAAUAUUUCCAAAAAUGUGCAAAAAAGUCAACAUUGAUAGAAAAAAACACCUUUGUGUACAUACAUUACAAACUGUGCCCAGCAUUCAACUGAGAGUAAAAACAUUUACAGUGAGAAACUGAUAGAUUAAAUAGAGAAUUUAAUGGCUACAUAAAAAUGUACAUUAGAUCAAGAGAAAAUUUACAAAUUUUUAUUCAUAGCUUCAUGAAAACUAAAAGCCUACGUUCCAAUUCAUCUAAGUCUCCUCCGCGUACUUACAGUGAUACUCCAUUACACAACUCCUGCGAGGUCUGAGAUGACAGACACUAGGCUUUAAUAAACUGUUCCAAUUUUAGGAGGACAUCACCUUUUUUACUGAUAUUAAUGAAAAACAAACACUAGGGAACCGACAACCUAAUGCCUGUUUGGAAAAGAAAACGCAAUCUUUGUUUUUUAAAUCCACAUUAUAUAACCUCUGGCGAAAAGGAUCAUCUAGUUUUGGGGAAAAAGACAUGAAAAACCUCUGAAAUAUUUCC
rnacentral:lncRNA from 1 species